GAUGAACGCUGGCGGCGUGCUUAACACAUGCAAGUCGAACGAAGCUGCCUGGAGGAAGUUUUCGGAUGGAAUUUAGGUAGACUUAGUGGCGGACGGGUGAGUAACGCGUGGAUAACCUGCCUUAUACAGGGGGAUAACGGAGAGAAAUUUCCGCUAAGACCGCAUAAGACCACAGCACCGCAUGGUGCAGGGGUAAAAUAUUUAUAGGUAUAAGAUGGAUCCGCGUCCGAUUAGCUAGUUGGUGAGGUAAAGGCCCACCAAGGCGACGAUCGGUAGCCGGCCUGAGAGGGUGAACGGCCACAUUGGGACUGAGACACGGCCCAAACUCCUACGGGAGGCAGCAGUGGGGAAUAUUGGACAAUGGGGGAAACCCUGAUCCAGCGACGCCGCGUGAGUGAAGAAGUAUUUCGGUAUGUAAAGCUCUAUCAGCAGGGAAGAAAANGA
rnacentral:rRNA from 1 species